AUGGCCUUCGAAUAUAUCAAUCGAUCUUAUCUUUGUUUGAUUUUAGUCAUUUCUAUAAUUUUGCUUUCAGGAUUAUCAAGUGGUGAGUAUAAUUUUUUGGAUUUAAAAUGUCAAGAUGGUGAUUGCACGUCAGAAUUAGAAUGCUAUCGAGAGUGUUAUGGAGAAGGCUAUAAGUAUGGUGGUACCUGCUAUAUAAUUUAUCCUAAGGCUGUGCGUUGUUGUUGUCGUAAAAGAUGA